rnacentral:snRNA from 1 species
AUACUUACCUGGGAGGGGAGAUACCAUGAGAACUAAGGUGGUUUACCCAGGGCGAGGCUUAUCCAUUGCACUCCGGAUGUGGUGACCGCUGCGAUUUCCCCAGAUGUGGGAAACUCGACUGCAUAACUUGUGGUAGUGGGGGACUGCAUUCACAUUCUCCCC